rnacentral:rRNA from 1 species
GAUGAACGCUGGCGGCGUGCCUAAUACAUGCAAGUCGAGCGAACGGGCGAGAAGCUUGCUUCUCUGAUGUUAGCGGCGGACGGGUGAGUAACACGUGGAUAACCUACCUAUAAGACUGGGAUAACUUCGGGAAACCGGAGCUAAUACCGGAUAAUAUUUUGAACCGCAUGGUUCAAAAGUGAAAGACGGUCUUGCUGUCACUUAUAGAUGGAUCCGCGCUGCAUUAGCUAGUUGGUGAGGUAACGGCUUACCAAGGCAACGAUGCAUAGCCGACCUGAGAGGGUGAUCGGCCACACUGGAACUGAGACACGGUCCAGACUCCUACGGGAGGCAGCAGUAGGGAAUCUUCCGCAAUGGGCGAAAGCCUGACGGAGCAACGCCGCGUGAGUGAUGAAGGUCUUCGGAUCGUAAAACUCUGUUAUUAGGGAAGAACAUAUGUGUAAGUAACUGUGCACAUCUUGACGGUACCUAAUCAGAAAGCCACGGCUAACUACGUG